GCGCCGGUGGCGUAAGUAAGGCGACAUCGCUGCUCGGAAAGCAGAAGAUGCGGGUUCGAGUCCCGCCAAGCGCA
rnacentral:tRNA from 1 species